GAUGAACGCUGGCGGCGUGCCUAAUACAUGCAAGUCGAGCGAACGGACGAGAAGCUUGCUUCUCUGAUGUUAGCGGCGGACGGGUGAGUAACACGUGGAUAACCUACCUAUAAGACUGGGAUAACUUCGGGAAACCGGAGCUAAUACCGGAUAAUAUUUUGAACCGCAUGGUUCAAAAGUGAAAGACGGUCUUGCUGUCACUUAUAGAUGGAUCCGCGCUGCAUUAGCUAGUUGGUAAGGUAACGGCUUACCAAGGCAACGAUGCAUAGCCGACCUGAGAGGGUGAUCGGCCACACUGGAACUGAGACACGGUCCAGACUCCUACGGGAGGCAGCAGUAGGGAAUCUUCCGCAAUGGGCGAAAGCCUGACGGAGCAACGCCGCGUGAGUGAUGAAGGUCUUCGGAUCGUAAAACUCUGUUAUUAGGGAAGAACAUAUGUGUAAGUAACUGUGCACAUCUUGACGGUACCUAAUCAGAAAGCCACGGCUAACUACGUGCCAGCAGCCGCGGUAAUACGUAGGUGGCAAGCGUUAUCCGGAAUUAUUGGGCGUAAAGCGCGCGUAGGCGGUUUUUUAAGUCUGAUGUGAAAGCCCACGGCUCAACCGUGGAGGGUCAUUGGAAACUGGAAAACUUGAGUGCAGAAGAGGAAAGUGGAAUUCCAUGUGUAGCGGUGAAAUGCGCAGAGAUAUGGAGGAACACCAGUGGCGAAGGCGACUUUCUGGUCUGUAACUGACGCUGAUGUGCGAAAGCGUGGGGAUCAAACAGGAUUAGAUACCCUGGUAGUCCACGCCGUAAACGAUGAGUGCUAAGUGUUAGGGGGUUUCCGCCCCUUAGUGCUGCAGCUAACGCAUUAAGCACUCCGCCUGGGGAGUACGACCGCAAGGUUGAAACUCAAAGGAAUUGACGGGGACCCGCACAAGCGGUGGAGCAUGUGGUUUAAUUCGAAGCAACGCGAAGAACCUUACCAAAUCUUGACAUCCUUUGACAACUCUAGAGAUAGAGCCUUCCCCUUCGGGGGACAAAGUGACAGGUGGUGCAUGGUUGUCGUCAGCUCGUGUCGUGAGAUGUUGGGUUAAGUCCCGCAACGAGCGCAACCCUUAAGCUUAGUUGCCAUCAUUAAGUUGGGCACUCUAAGUUGACUGCCGGUGACAAACCGGAGGAAGGUGGGGAUGACGUCAAAUCAUCAUGCCCCUUAUGAUUUGGGCUACACACGUGCUACAAUGGACAAUACAAAGGGCAGCGAAACCGCGAGGUCAAGCAAAUCCCAUACAGUUGUUCUCAGUUCGGAUUGUAGUCUGCAACUCGGCUACAUGAAGCUGGAAUCGCUAGUAAUCGUAGAUCAGCAUGCUACGGUGAAUACGUUCCCGGGUCU
rnacentral:rRNA from 1 species